rnacentral:tRNA from 1 species
GAGGAUAUAGCUCAGUGGUAGAGUGUAUGCCUAGCCUGCACGAGGUCCCAGGGUCAAUCCCUGGUACCUCCA